CAGCAAGAGAGAGAGAAAGAGCCGUCCACAGGCGUGUGGGGGAAGAAAAGGAAAGAAAUGGCUUAUUUAUAAAAUAGUCACGGUUCUGGAAGCUUCCGAAUAUGAAUGUGAUCCAUUACAGAUAAAAAGGACAUGGACAUGAUAUGGAUAAGAAUGAACAUCACACUUUUAAUGCACAUUCUUCAGACCAGGUCUCCUCCUCCUUUUUUCUAAAAAAAAAAAAAAACUCCCAGUAGAAGCAGCAGUGGAAGCAGACUGAUCCUGUAGAGCUGAAUUCACUCGCUUUCCAACACUGCCACUGCUGGAGCCCAGCUUACACUGCAGAGUGACCUGUUUCUGAAAGGAGCCGCGGGAACAAUGAUCUGAGGCAGGAGAAAGCUGGGAGAAGGUGCUCUUGUCAGCAGCAUCCUCAGCCUGUGAGAGGAAGAGGCCGUGUGCAUUAUCUGCAUGGACGAGCUCUGUGUGAAGGUGCAGUCAUGGCGUGUGGCACGGGAAGCGGUCUGCUGCGACUCCGGUGGUCAGGAAAACGCAGAGGCAACGCACCACAUUCAUAUUUCAUGUCUUUGUCUCUGCAUCUCUGCAACUGCCUGAGAGAUGUUAUCUGGUAACUGUCACAGGAAAUAAGAUUAUUCACACAUGUGCCAGAGCGCAGACACAGACUAACUGUUCGAGUGUGGAGAUGAAGUAAGCUAUCAGCGCUGCAAAUCUGGGCCUCUAGUGGGUUUCAAUUUCUGUAAGGCUGUAUUGUGUCUAAUUUAAUGUCUGACGAUGUGACUAUAUGUUACUACUUCAUGUU